GGCCUGUUAGCUCAGCUGGUUAGAGCGUGGUGCUAAUAACGCCAAGGUCGUGAGUUCGAUCCCCACAUGGGCCA
rnacentral:tRNA from 1 species